UAGAGAUCACAUUCCAAGCUGGAUUGGACAUGGUGGUCAAGAAUUCUUCGGAGGAACACUUUCUAUCAACUUGUUAGCACCAAUUCUCCUUACUCUUCUGACUGUAAUUCUGUGCUGGGGUGUUGGAGAAUCUUCGACUUUGAACUUUUUCAUGACUGUGACAAAGAUUGUUAUUGUUAUCAUUGUCAUCUUUGUGGGUGCUUUUGAGGUUGAUGUUUCAAAUUGGUCUCCUUUUGCUCCGAAGGGUGUUAAAGCAAUAUUGACUGGUGCAACUGUAGUAUUUUUUGCAUAUGUUGGGUUUGAUGCUGUUGCAAAUUCAGCUGAAGAAGCAAAGAGACCACAGCGGGAUUUGCCACUGGGCAUCAUAGGAAGCCUUUUUAUAUGCGUUGUCUUGUAUAUUGGAGUUUGUUUAGUGCUCACUGGGAUGGUACCUUACAAUCUCCUUGGUGAAGAUGCUCCUUUGGCUGAGGCUUUUAAAUCCAAGGGCUUGAAGUACAUUUCUGUUUUAAUCAGCGUAGGUGCUGUUGCUGGACUUACAACCACUCUUUUAGUUGGUCUUUAUGUUCAGUCUCGGUUGUACCUGGGGCUUGGAAGAGAUGGUUUACUGCCUUCUAUAUUUGCUAAAGUUCACCCAACGCACCAUACUCCUAUUCAUUCUCAAGUUUGGGUUGGUAUUGUUGCCAGCAUUUUGGGGGGAUUAUUUAAUGUGCAUGUGCUUUCCCACAUUCUUUCUGUUGGUUCAUUGACAGGUUAUUCUGUUGUUUCAGCUUGUGUAGUAACCCUGCGUUGGAAGGAUAAGGCAGUGAGUCAAGUUUCUUCAAGGUGGACUUCAGCCUGGCAGGAAGGAGUCAUUUGCCUUAUCAUAGUUGCCUGCUGUGGCUUUGCUGCUGGUCUGUUUUUUCGUUAUGGUGCUUCAGUUGUUUUCUUGGUUAUAGCAAUUGUCAUAGCUGUACUUGCUGCUGCAGCUCUUUAUUUUCGUCAAGUUUACACGGAUCCUCCUGGAUUUUCUUGUCCUGGUGUUCCAAUUGUGCCAGUUGUUGGCAUCUUCUUCAACAUCUUCCUGUUUGCUCAGCUGCAUCAUGAAGCAUGGGUGAGAUUCUUUGUCCUGAGCAUCAUCAUGGCUGCAAUUUAUGCAUUUUAUGGGCAAUAUAAUGCCAAACCAAGUUCAGAUGAGAUAGUUGUUUACCGGAGAGCUCCUGGGGAAGCAGCAAGUUAGUAAUUAAAUGUUCAGUGUUAGACAACGAUGGUGUGGCUGCUUGUCUGUAGCAAUGAUUAUAUUGUAUAUUUGUAUUUACAAUGUAUCAUCUGUAAGGCUGAAGACAUUUAUUUGUAGGAAUCCU
rnacentral:misc_RNA from 1 species